AUUGAGCUUUUCCAGUAAUUUUUAUUAAAAUUUGAAUUUUACAGAGAUUUGAAUAGCCCCAGCACAAGGGUGACCCAUAAGUUCGUAAAGUAUUCCAUUUUGUU